ACAUUAGUUUUUCUUAAUGUUCUGUUCACACCCAGCAACUCGGCAACAGGAUGUUGCCGAGAGCGAGACCUGAGCCAUGGAUGGCGAAUGUCUCGUGUUUGCGUCAUUUUUUAAUUACCUAAAUCAGAACAUUUAGAAAAUCUUAUGUCCGGA
rnacentral:ncRNA from 1 species